ACACUCCUGCGGGAGGCAGCAGUGGGGAAUAUUGCACAAUGGGCGCAAGCCUGAUGCAGCGACGCCGCGUGGGGGAUGAAGGCCUUCGGGUUGUAAACUCCUUUCGCUAGGGACGAAGCUUUUUUGUGACGGUACCUAGAUAAGAAGCACCGGCUAACUACGUGCCAGCAGCCGCGGUAAUACGUAGGGUGCGAGCGUUGUCCGGAAUUACUGGGCGUAAAGGGCUCGUAGGUGGUUUGUCGCGUCGUCUGUGAAAUUCUGGGGCUUAACUCCGGGCGUGCAGGCGAUACGGGCAUAACUUGAGUGCUGUAGGGGUAACUGGAAUUCCUGGUGUAGCGGUGAAAUGCGCAGAUAUCAGGAGGAACACCGAUGGCGAAGGCAGGUUACUGGGCAGUUACUGACGCUGAGGAGCGAAAGCAUGGGUAGCGAACAGGAUUAGAAACCCCUGUAGUCCC
rnacentral:rRNA from 1 species